UACGGGGGGAGCAAGCGUUGUUCGGAUUUACUGGGCGUAAGGGCGCGUAGGCGGCGUGACAAGUCACUUGUGAAAUCUCCGGGCUUAACUCGGAGCGGUCAAGUGAUACUGUCGUGCUAGAGUGCGGAAGGGGCUACUGGAAUUCUCGGUGUAGCGGUGAAAUGCGUAGAUAUCGAGAGGAACACCUGCGGCGAAGCGGGUAGCUGGGCCGACACUGACGCUGAUGCGCGAAAGCCAGGGGAGCGAACGGG
rnacentral:rRNA from 1 species